AAUCAACGCUGGCGGCGCGCCUCAGACAUGCAAGUCGAACGAUUAAAGCUCUCUUCGGAGAGUGCAUAAAGUGGCGCACGGGUGAGUAACACGUAAGUAAUCUACCUUCGAGUGGGGAAUAACGUCCGGAAACGGACGCUAAUACCGCAUAAUGCAGCGGCAUCGCAAGAUGACAGUUGUUAAAGAUUUAUCGCUUGAAGAGGAGCUUGCGGCAGAUUAGCUAGUUGGUAAGGUAAUGGCUUACCAAGGCUACGAUCUGUAACCGGUCUAAGAGGACGGUCGGUCACACUGACACUGAAUAACGGGUCAGACUCCUACGGGAGGCAGCAGUCGGGAAUUUUGGGCAAUGGGCGAAAGCCUGACCCAGCAACGCCGCGUGAAGGAUGAAGUAUUUCGGUAUGUAAACUUCGAAAGAAUGGGAAGAAUAAAUGACGGUACCAUUUAUAAGGUCCGGCUAACUACGUGCCAGCAGCCGCUGUAAC
rnacentral:rRNA from 1 species